rnacentral:lncRNA from 1 species
UAAAAUACGAACAGGGGGAGCUACCGGGAUGCCAUCCCGUAGUCCCAAUAGUUAAUAGACCACAAAAAACCAAUAUUAACGGCAAGGAAGCGAAAUGCGAACAACAAAUAAAAUCGAGAAUAUAACAUGCUUCACAAGAAGGACAAAUAUUGCAAUUUAACCAAAUAAGACAAGUAAGUUUCUAACAUGCUUUAGAAAAGAAAACAGAUACUACCAUUUAGAUAAGUUGAUCAAAUAAUUACUAACAUGCUUCUCCUACGUCAAAACAAGUGAAGUAUCAUUGUUAACAAUUAAAUAUGUGAAGAAACACAUUCUAAAUAAACCAAGUAAGGUGAAUUUUCAACAACUAGCAUAAGUACACACCCGUCACCUAGUGCACAAGGCAUUUAAACAAUGACAAGGAUAUCCUAAGGGGUAAGUCCCCCACACAAAGUUAGGUAAACCACUUAACUCAAUUUGGUAUAAAACCGCUAAGAAACAACGCCCUUGCCACGAGUUUCUGAUUCCGAGUGGCCCAAAUCUAUUCAAACCAAUUAUAUAUUGUAAAUAACAUCGCAAGCAAUUGAUUACACUAUUAAAAGUAAAGCUAAGGCGCGAAAAUAGAUAAAAUGACCAAAAUUCCCCUCAGGCUAGCGUCUCGGAAUCAAAUAAUUUUUAGAUUUUCAGAAACCUCGUACUCUCACGAGUUUAGCCAUAUAAAAAUCUCCCAAAUCGGAGAUUAAAUGCCUCUUCAAAUCAUCAAAGUUAGGUCUAAGAAUAUUACCCCAAAUUUUCAUUCAAAUCCGAAAUUAAAGCUUGAAUUCGAGAUUAGAUUAGCGGGUAAUAAUCAUAAAGGAUAAAGGAAUUGCUACCCAAUGUUUGCCAUUGAAAACUCCUCGAAAAAUCUCCCAAAACUGAUCUCUCUAGCUUGAGUUUUUGUAAAAAUGGAAGAAGGGUUCGUUUUUGAAAUAUAUGAAUUGGUCAGGGAUUUCUUCAUCGCGAACGCAGAGAGGGGGAUCGCGUUCGCGGAGAUGAAAAAUUCAAGAGGAUAAGGUUGCUCUUCGUGAAUGCGAGGAAAGGGCUGCGAACGCGAAGGCUUGGUAUUGGAACCUACGCGAACGCGACAAGGAACACACGAACGCAUAGAAGGGAAAAAGGAGGGGUCCAGGACCGACCCUACGCGAACGGGUUGGGUAAGGACGCGAACGCGAAAGAGAGGGGAGCUAGGCUUCGCGAACGCGUGAAGAAGGAAGCGAACGCGGUGAAUGGAAAAGGGAACGCUUCGGGAACGCAGGGCUUCCUUCACGAACGCGAAGAAGGAUAGCAGACCUGCAAUUUUUCUCCUGCAAUUCUAAACUCCAAAUUGCUCCGUUGAGCAUCCGAAACACACCCGAGGCCCUCGGGACCUCAACUAAACCUACGAAAAUAUCUCAUAACCCCAUCCAAACUCGUACCAAUCCUUGAACCACAUAAAACAACGCCGAAUACUCGAAUUAGUUAAUGAUUUCAACUUAAAAACUUCAAAACUUAACCAAACUCGCUUUCGCUUCAAAACCUAACCAAACACGUCUGAUUCACGUGAAAUUUUGCACACACCUCCCAAAUGAUAUGACGGUGCUACAAAAACUUCCAAAAUCCCGUUCCGGCCCUCGGAUCAAAAUUUCACUAAUGGACUGGAAACUUCAAAAUUCGAACUUUCGGCAUUUAAAGCCUAAAUGAGCUACGGACAUCCAAAAUAUAUUCCGAACACGCUCCCAACCCCGAAAUCACCUAAUAGAGCUAAUGGAACAAUCAAUUUUUCAUUGCGAGGUCGUCUUGACACUAUUCUGAUUACAGACCAAUUUCCAACACUUACGCUCUCAUUUAGGGACUAAGUAUCCCGAAACACUCCGAAUUCUAUUACCGAACAUCCCGGAAAACCAAAAUAGCAGAAAUGAACUUAGAGAAGGCAGUUAAUCGGGAAACGGGGCAUAAAUUCCAAAGACACCGUCCGGGUCGUCACAUCCUCCUACACUUAAACAUUCAUUCGUCCUCGAACGAGCAUAGAGAACAUNNNNNNNNNNNNNNNNNNNNNNNNNNNNNNNNNNNNNNNNNNNNNNNNNNNNNNNNNNNNNNNNNNNNNACUGCAGACGAGCAUAGAGAACAUACCUGAAGUAGCAUAUAGAUGAGGGUAUCGUCUGCGCAUAUCUUGCUCGGUCUCCCAAGUUGCCUCUUUGGCCGGCUGACCCCGCCAGUGCACCUUUACUGAAGCUAUAUCCUUUGACCUGAGCUUUCGAACUUGUCUAUCCAAUAUUGCCACUGGCUCCUCAAGAUUGGACAAGUCAUUAUCCAACUGGACUGAAGUGAACUCCAACACGUGAGACGGUUCACCAUGAUACCUCCGAAGCAUCGAAACAUGAAAUACAGGAUGAACCCCGGCCAAACUGGGAGGUAAAACAAGCUCAUAAGCAACCUUCCCAACUGCUCCUCAACAUAGGACAAGUCAUUGUCCAACUGGACUGAAAAAAACUCCAACACGUGAGACGGGUCACCUGAUACCUCCGAAGCAUCGAAACAUGAAAUACGGGAUGAACCCCAGCAAACUGGGAGGUAAAGCAAGCUCAUAAGCAACCUUCCCAACCUGCUUCAAAAUCUCAAAUGG